rnacentral:rRNA from 1 species
AUUGAACGCUGGCGGCAGGCCUAACACAUGCAAGUCGAGCGAGCGUCGGACGGGUGAGUAAUGUAUGGGGACUGCCCGAUAGAGGGGGCUAACUACUGGAAACGCUGGCUAAUACAGCAUACUGUAUGAUAACCCCUAUGGGAUUAGCUAUUAGGUAAGGUAAUGGCUUACCUAGGCGACGAUCCCUAGCUGGUCUGAGAGGAUGAUCAGCCACACUGGGACUGAGACACGGCCCAGACUCCUACGGAGGCAGCAGUGGGGAAUAUUGCACAAUGGGCGCAAGCCUGAUGCAGCCAUGCCGCGUGUAUGAAGAAGGCCCUAGGGUUGUAAAGUACUUUCAGUCGGGAGGCGUUACCGACAGAAGAAGCACCGGCUAACUCCGUGCCAGCAGCCGCGGUAAUUC